GGACUACUGGGGUUUCUAAUCCCGUUCGCUACCCACGCUUUCGUGCUUGAGUGUCAGAAACGCGCCAGUCUGCUGCCUUCGCUUUCGGUGUUCCCCUGGAUAUCAACGGAUUUCACCCCUACACCCAGAGUUCCACAGACCUCUCACGCUCUCGAGUCGUGCCGUUUCGUUUGCAGAUCCGGGGUUGAGCCCCGGGGUUUAACAAACGACUAACACGACCACCUACGCACUCUUUACGCCCAGUAAUUCCGGGUAACGCUUGGGGCCUCUGUAUUACCGCGGCUGCUGGCAC
rnacentral:rRNA from 1 species